CAAUAGCGUAUAUUAAAGUUGUUGCGGUAAAAAAGCUCGUAGUUGGAUUUCUACCGAAGAUAGCCGGUCGGGUCUUCGACCUUGUAUCUGGUUUUGUCUUUGGUAUCCUCAUAGGGAACGUUUCUGCGCUUUAUUUCGUGGUGCGGUAUCUAUGACUUUUACUUUGAGGAAAUUAGAGUGUUCACGGCAGGCAAACGCCUUGAAUAUAUUAGCAUGGAAUAAUAACAUAGGAUCUUCGUCCUAUUUUGUUGGUUUCUAGGGCUAAGAUAAUGAUUAAUAGGGAUAAUUGGGGGCAUCUGUAUCAACGCGUCAGAGGUGGAAUUCUUGGAUUGCGUUGCGACAAACUACUGCGAAAGCAUUUGCCAAGGAUGUUUUCAUUGA
rnacentral:rRNA from 1 species